AAUUGUGUAGCUCAGUUGGUUGAGCAUGGAUCUCGCAAGGCCAAGGAUUGUGGGUUCAAUUCCCACUGAGGUCA
rnacentral:tRNA from 1 species